rfam:Cavia porcellus supercont2_11 genomic scaffold, whole genome shotgun sequence.
AAUUUCACACCUGGAUGUGCUCACUCAACCAAGAAUAUAGAGAAAGAGCUUCUGUCCUGAGACUCAGAAAAAUAUUCUCCUCUGCUUCGGUGCAGAAUAGAUUUCUAGACUCUGAUCAUUACUCAAGAAGUAUUCACUGGGG